GUUAGGGUGGCAGAACCAAGUAUUGCAAAAGACCUAAACUCUUUAUAUGGAAGUUCAAAUCUUCCCCCUGACU
rnacentral:tRNA from 1 species